GUUUUAGGGAUGAGUCUUUUUAUGUUGCUCAGGCUGAUCUCCAACUCCUGGCCUUCAGGAGUCCUCAUGCCUCGGCCUCCCAAAAUGUUGGGAUUACAGGCAGGAGCCACUGUUGGUGGCCUCUCUAGUCUUAUAUCCAUUCAUCUGACAGAUUUCAAAACUGAGGCCAUAUUUCAAGUUAGGUAUAGAGCCAGGAUUAGUACCUGAGAUUUCUUUUUUGCUGAUCUUAGAUACUUCAGAUUUUGUUUCUUUCUUGACGUUUAGGAAUAGAUUGAAUUUCUUCAAAAAAUAUUUUGUAUCUUGUUGGGGGGGAGGGGCUCAGAAGUUUUGGGUGGAAAGAUUUAAAAUCCUCUGAGUAUGGAAAAGGGGGAGUAUCUUCCACCUUGUGGAAUCCUCACACUGUGUGAGUAAUAUUAUUCACUGCUCUACUUCCCAGUGGAGAAUGCAGAGAAGCUGUACCUCUUGAACUUGUGUUUUCUCUCUUUGAGUAACUGUUUCCAUAGUUUCUAUACCCUUUGACAUAGAGAAACUUUCUUUAGUUUGUGUUCGCAUUUUAUAAUCAAUCACAUUACCUUUUGAUGUGUGAUAGCCCUGCACCUACCACUAAUUUUCUGUGUUUUUGGUUAUGCUAGUUUUUCGGCUUGGCAUGUUUUUUCCCCUCUGUCUUUUUAAGUGAAAAAUCUCCUGUGUCCUUCAAAGCCAAAUUAUUUACCCAGAUCAUGGUCUUACAAAAUUAGAAUGAUUUCUUUUGUCUGUAUAAUAUUGCAACAAUUUCCUGUCUUGACCUCCUUAUGACUUUCUAUUGCCUUGUUAUUACAUAGAUCUGUUAUUUCUCCUUUCCAUUGUAACCUCCUUGACAGCACUGUGUCUAAUACAACUUUAUAUUUUGUACAGUUUGUAAUUUUCCUUCUGAAAUACAGUUCACCAUUAUUUUGAGCACGGUAGUCUCUUAAUCAGUAUGUGAUACAAAAAUGGGGAAGAAAAUAAUGAUUCUAGAAGUUCAGAUAACAGUAUGUCACAGAUAUUAGGGCAAGGAACUAGAACUGGGACAGCUGAGGCAAGGUAGGAAACACAGACUAGAUCACAGUUAUGAAAGCAGCCUAAUGUUCAGGAGAGAGUUUCGGUAAGGGCAGCACUGGAAUUCUAGAACCAUGUUGUAUAUCUGUCAAAUUUUUGUGUAGCAAAACAGAACUGACAGGUAAAUAAGGUAUCUAAAUUAGGUAAGUAGAAUAAAAGAUUGGGAAUAUUGUAGUUUUUAUGGUUUGGAAGAUUAAUGCGUAUUUUAAGGGUAAUUUUUGCUUUACUCUUAGAACGGUAAAGUACCUCUGAUUUCAUGAAACCUAACUUUCUAAGCCUAUAAGAAGAAUCUUUUCUACUGUGUUUCUAAUGGAUCACUUAUCUUAGAUAUUGUGGGCAACUAAAGUUGCACUGUAUCUGUUUCAUUAUUUAACAGCUCUGAGCACUGGUGGUCUUUGUUUGCCCUCCUGAGCAAUAUAAAACAAGUUCUGUUUUCCAGUUUAUAGGCCUUCGGAUUUUUCGAGAUUGCUAUCCUGUCUUCCCUAAAAUCCCUCUUUCUAAGCAAAGUGCUCUCAAUUCUUUAUUAUGUUUAUAAUUAUUAUAAGACACGGUUUGCAGCCCUCUCAUACACGGUACAGUUGUCCCCCAGUAUCCACGGGGGGUUGGUUCCAGGACUUCCUGGAGAUAGCAAAAUCUGCUGAUGCUCAAAUCCCUUACAUAAAAUGGUGUAGUAUUUGCAUACAACCUGCACACACCCUCCUGUAUGCUUUAAAUCAUCUUUAAAUUACUUACAUUACCUAAUCCACUGCAAAUGCCAUGUAAAGAUUCUAUGUAAGUGGUUGUUACACUGUCCUGUUUAGGGAAUAAUGACAAGAAAAAAGUCUGUAAGUGUUCAGUACAGAUGAUUUCUUUUUCCUGAAUAUUUUUGAUCUGUGGUUGGUUGAAUCCACAGAUGGGAAACCCACAGAUAUGGAGGGCUGACUGUAUUGGUAUCUUACUGUGGAAAUAGCUCAGUUUGUCAAUGUUUCUCUUACAGCGUAGUGCCCAGAAGUGAAUCUGUUACUGCAGAUGUGAUCGGUGCAGGGAAAAAGCACAGUGAGACUGUUAGCCUCUUCUCAUAGUCUGUCACUGUAGGGGCCUUCGGUGCGAUUAAAGGCUGUAGCCACUUUUUCUCAGUUUUACUCUUUAAGGGAACUUUUAUUAUGUUUUGAUUAUAUAAAUCAUUUAUAAAGUCAGUUUAUUGUCCAGAUGUUACCAGUUUACAUUCCUAGCACUAAUAUGUGAAGGGUUCUACUUUCUUAUACCGUAGCCAUUGCUGGGUGUUACUCUUUCUAGUUUUUGCCAUUGUAUUGCUGUUUUAUUUUACAUUUCUUUGUUACUGAGGUUUAACGUUGCUUAAAUGAAUUAUUAUUCUUGUUCUUAGUUAAGUUUUAAAUAUGAGGCCUAUCCUUAAACAUGUAUAAAUUUUAUGUUCUUAUUUAUUGGUAAGAGCUUUUUGUGUAUUGAGAAUACCUUUAUUUGAUUAAUCUUUUUUGUUGUGAAUAUUUUUCUAGUUUGAAUAUACCUUUUAAUGUUACGGUAUAUUUUUGCCUUGUAAAAUUUUUUAGUUGUUAAGUAGUUUAAUAUGUCAGACUUUUCCCAUUCAAGGAGACCAUUGAGGUCAUACUUACAAACUCUUCACCUUUUUCCUUUGAGCAUCAUUAUGAUGAAAACAUUUUGUAUUAUCUAAGUAAUAUAUUCUCCUUUAAAAGAGCCAAGCAGUAAAUAUAUAGGGUAUCGUGUGAUUCCUUUCUUCCAUAUUCUUUCUCAGAAAUAACCACUGCCAAGUAUGUCAUGCCA
rnacentral:lncRNA from 1 species